rnacentral:rRNA from 1 species
GUGCAGCAGUCGCGAAACCUCCGCAAUACACGAAAGUGUGACGGGGCCAUCCCGAGUGCCGUCCGCUGAGGACGGCUUUUCCCCAGUGUACAUAGCUGGGGAAGUAAGAGAGGGCAAGCCUGGUGUCAGCCGCCGCGGUAAUACCAGCUCUCCGAGUGGUGGGGACGCUUAUUGGGCCUAAAGCAUCCGUAGCCGGCUGGGCAAAGUCCUCCGUUAAAUCCAACGAUUCAAUCGUUGGGCUGC